ensembl:lncRNA
GCUCGAGCAGAAGGGCCGGCUGCAGCGCCUGGUCGCCAAAGAUGUAAGUGCCCGGUGCCAGACCAUAAGUGCCAGCUUUGGGGGACACUCGGGCAUGGCCAGCACCCCGCGGCCCUUCUCCUGCCCACAGUGCCGUGCUGGGGUACUCCCAAGCCUGGGGAAGGGGCCGGGGCAGCCCAGCUCACAUCCCACUCUCCCUGCAGGUGCAGCCUCCGGAUCCAGCCAGCAUCCGUGUGCUGCGGGGACACCAGCUGCCUGUCACCUGCCUGGUCAUCUCUCCCGAUGACAAGUUCAUCUUUUCUGGGUCCAAGGACGGCUCCCUCAUCAAAUGCAAGUGUUCACCUGAGGCUGCAACUGGCUGUUCUGCAGGGGACCCUGCAGCAUCAGGGCUGUGGGUGCCUGUGGUGGUGACUUAGCCCUUGGCUGCUCUGGGAAUGUGCAUUGUUUUGGGAUCUGUAGGAGGCUCGUUAGCACUUUUGGGAAUGGUUCUGGGCUUCGUUGGAGGCUCAUUAGCACUUUUGGGAGUGGUGGGAGGCUCCCAGAGGGUGAUGGUGGCCGUACCUUUCCCACAGGGGAGGUGGACAGCGGGAAGAGGCUGUGCGUGGUGCCCGGGGGGAAGAAGGGCACGGAGGAGCGGCACAUGGGACACGCAUCCCACAUCCUCUGCAUGGCCAUCUCAUCGGAUGACAAGUACCUGGCCACAGGAGACAGGAACAAGUUGAUCAUGAUCUGGGACACAGCCACUUGCAAGCGCCUGCACAUCUUCACAGGGCACCGUGACGCUGUCUCGGUGAGUCAGGGGCAUCAGGUGUGGUGCCUGUGAUGCCUGUGGGGCUGGGCAGCCCCAUCCU